rnacentral:rRNA from 1 species
CGCCCUUUUCACAGAGGGAUAGCCCAGAGAAAUUUGGAUUAAUACCUCAUAGCAUUAUAGAAUGGCAUCAUUUUAUAAUUAAAGUCACAACGGUGAAAGAUGAGCAUGCGUCCCAUUAGCUAGUUGGUAAGGUAACGGCUUACCAAGGCAACGAUGGGUAGGGGUCCUGAGAGGGAGAUCCCCCACACUGGUACUGAGACACGGACCAGACUCCUACGGGAGGCAGCAGUGAGGAAUAUUGGUCAAUGGGCGCAAGCCUGAACCAGCCAUGCCGCGUGCAGGAUGACGGUCCUAUGGAUUGUAAACUGCUUUUGCACAGGAAGAAACACUCCGACGUGUCGGAGCUUGACGGUACUGUGAGAAUAAGGAUCGGCUAACUCCGUGCCAGCCGCCGCGGUAAUACAA